rnacentral:rRNA from 1 species
AAUUUUUUUUAGGUUGACCUCGGAUCA